CCGACGGUGAGGGGUGAAAGCUGGGGGAGCAAACCGGAUUAGAUACCCGGGUAGUCCCAGCCGUAAACGAUGUGCGUUAGGUGUAUCGGUGACCACGAGUCACCGAGGUGCCGAAGAGAAAUCGUGAAACGUACCGCCUGGGAAGUACGGUCGCAAGGCUGAAACUUAAAGGAAUUGGCGGGGGAGCACCACAACAGGUGGAGCCUGCGGUUUAAUCGGACUCAACGCCGGGAAACUCACCAGAUAAGACAGCUGAAUGAUAGUCGGGCUGAAGACUCUACUUGACUAGCUGAGAGGAGGUGCAUGGCCGUCGUCAGUUCGUACUGUGAAGCAUCCUGUUAAGUCAGGCAACGAGUGAGACCCACGCCAACAGUUGCU
rnacentral:rRNA from 1 species